AACGAACGCUGGCGGCAUGCCUAACACAUGCAAGUCGAACGAGACCUUCGGGUCUAGUGGCGCACGGGUGCGUAACGCGUGGGAACCUGCCUUUAGGUUCGGAAUAACUCAGAGAAAUUUGAGCUAAUACCGGAUGAUGUCUUCGGACCAAAGAUUUAUCGCCUUUAGAUGGGCCCGCGUUGGAUUAGCUAGUUGGUGGGGUAAAGGCCUACCAAGGCGACGAUCCAUAGCUGGUCUGAGAGGAUGAUCAGCCACACUGGGACUGAGACACGGCCCAGACUCCUACGGGAGGCAGCAGUGGGGAAUAUUGGACAAGGGGCGAAAGCCUGAGCCAGCAAUGCCGCGUGAGUGAUGAAGGCCUUAGGGUUGUAAAGCUCUUUUACCCGAGAUGAUAAUGACAGUAUCGGGAGAAUAAGCACCGGCUAACUCCGUG
rnacentral:rRNA from 1 species